UACGUAGGUGGCAAGCGUUGUCCGGAAUCACUGGGCGUAAAGCGCGCGUAGGCGGUCUGUUAAGUGGGAUGUGAAAUCCCCGGGCUUAACCUGGGAAUUGCAUUUCAAACUGGCCGACUAGAGUACGGUAGAGGGUGGUAGAAUUUCCUGUGUAGCGGUGAAAUGCGUAGAUAUAGGAAGGAAUACCAGUGGCGAAGGCGGCCUCCUGGAUCGAUACUGACGCUGAGGCGCGAAAGCGUGGGGAGCAAACAGG
rnacentral:rRNA from 1 species